rnacentral:rRNA from 1 species
UACGUAGGGUGCAAGCGUUAAUCGGAAUUACUGGGCGUAAAGCGUGCGCAGGCGGCUUUGCAAGACAGAUGUGAAAUCCCCGGGCUCAACCUGGGAACUGCAUUUGUGACUGCAAGGCUAGAGUACGGUAGAGGGGAUGGAAUUCCGCGUGUAGCAGUGAAAUGCGUAGAUAUGCGGAGGAACACCGAUGGCGAAGGCAAUCCCUGGACCUGUACUGACGCUCAUGCACGAAGCGUGGGAGCAACAGG